UGUGUGUUGUGUGUGUUGUGUGUGUGUGUGUGUGUGUGGUGUGUGUGUGUGUGUGUGUGUGUGUUGUGUGUGUUUACACACACACACACACACACACACACACACACACACACACACACACACACACACAUAUAUAUAUAUAUAUAUAUAUAUAUAUAUAUAUAUAUAUAU
rnacentral:snoRNA from 1 species